GAGCAUUGUUCAUAACUCGACAGCCUGCUUGUGUAUGGUAGGUACCAUUCCAGUGCUGUGAGAACUCUAGGGACACAUGGCUGACUGAUAGCUUUCAGUUUCAGGUCUUGGAGGCAUAC
rnacentral:snoRNA from 1 species